rnacentral:lncRNA from 1 species
GUCACCUUGAAAGAGGAAAGGGGGAUAGACAGAAGCUUGGGAAUCACAAUAGCCAUAUCAUCAGCGAAGAACUUUCCUUUAGUAAGUAAAACCAAGCAAACAUCUUUUCCCCUCCCUGGCAAGGCUUGGUACAAACCCCAGUGCAGGAGUCCAGACUAAGUGAACAAUGUGUGUGCAUAGAGAAGUGUGAGGGAUGAUGGAAAAUGAUGCCUUUCACUGAUGACUCUGCAGUAGGGCUUCAGAAGACAUCUCAUCAUUUGACCUGUGCAGCCAGAAGCAGACUUCAGUCUCCCUCAUGAUAUGAUACCACGUACUGUGACUGGUCCAUCACUACCAACACAUGGCAACAGGAAAGGCACCU